UACGUAGGGUGCAAGCGUUAUCCGGAUUCACUGGGUUUAAAGGGUGCGUAGGCGGGCAGGUAAGUCAGUGGUGAAAUCUCCGAGCUUAACUUGGAAACUGCCGUUGAUACUAUCUGUCUUGAAUAUUGUGGAGGUGAGCGGAAUAUGUCAUGUAGCGGUGAAAUGCUUAGAUAUGACAUAGAACACCAAUUGCGAAGGCAGCUCGCUACACAUAUAUUGACUCUGAGGCACGAAAGCGUGGGGAUCAAACAGG
rnacentral:rRNA from 1 species